rnacentral:rRNA from 1 species
UACGGAGGGAGCUAGCGUUGUUCGGAAUUACUGGGCGUAAAGCGCGCGUAGGCGGCUUUGUAAGUUAGAGGUGAAAGCCCGGGGCUCAACUCCGGAACUGCCUUUAAGACUGCAUCGCUUGAAUCCGGGAGAGGUGAGUGGAAUUCCGAGUGUAGAGGUGAAAUUCGUAGAUAUUCGGAAGAACACCAGUGGCGAAGGCGGCUCACUGGUCCAUUACUGACGCUGAGGUGACGAAAGCGUGGGGGAGCAAACAGGAUUUAGA